rfam:TPA: Bos taurus chromosome 17, whole genome shotgun sequence.
UCCUUUGUGGCUCAGUUGGUAAAGAAUCCACCUGCAAUGUGGGAGACCUGGGUUCAAUCCCUGGUUUGGGAA